AUUGCUUCUGUGGACGGGUGUCUUUUAUACAGGUAACAAGCUGAGAUUAGGAUCACUCCCUUUAAGAGAGUGCUCAUAAUCUCAGCUUGUUACCUGUUUAAAAGACACCUGGAAGCCAGAAA